CAUUUCCUUUUGCUGGUGUAUGUUGGUGGUAAAUGCCCUUUUUUUAGUUGUCUCAGAUAUCUUUAUUUUGCCCUAAAUUUUGAAAGGGACUUUGGCUGGGUACAUGAUUCUAGGUAAGAAGUCGUUUUUUUCUUUCCACCUUGUACGACUGUUGUGAAGAUUACCCGAAUUCAUACCUAAAGCUCCUAGCACUAGGCCUGGCAUGUUUGCUUGUUAUGUAAUAGUGGCUCUUACAUUCUCAGAAAAAUACUGGAACAAAUUUGAGACAAUUUAAGUUUAGUUGGAACGGUCAUACUUUCAUGCCUUUUUUUUUUCUCGUUAUUUCCUUAAAAUUUUUGGACGGGAGUAGGUUUUAAUAUGCAACAUUACUAGCUUUAAAGAUAGAGUUUGACUCAGCCAGGGGUUCUGUCAUUUGCUAGUUGUAAAUACCCUUUGCACAUUAUCUUACCUGUCUGAGGUGGUUUUUUGUUUUUUGUUUUUUGUUUUUGCAUAUAAAAUGGUUAUCAUAUAACUGUUUCUUAGGGAAAUACUGUUUGCUUUGAAAAUUAUGUGAGAAUACAUUUAAAACUCUUCGUAAAGCCUCACAUAGUAGGUGGCUAAUUAUGUUAAUUAUUUGUUGCCUGAUUAUGAUUUUUACAUAGAUGUUAUCAACUUUUCUUUUUCUGCUCUGUUUUUAUUUCCUAUUCCCCAAAUCCAUGAAAAGGAGGAGUGUCUUUUGCAUGAUGUUUACUCUGCUGGCUGGGAAGGCCUUCUGUGCUUGGAGGCAGCAUUUUUAUACUUGUCUUUAGGUAGGAAAGUAGCUUUUUAGGCUUAGUAUUUGGCUACCUGUAAGACUCUCACUUAGCCAAAAACUGUAUGCUCUAGUUUUACUUGUGGCUUUGAAAAAUUACUUAACCACUCAGUACCUUAGUUUCCUCAGCUGUAAUAUAGAAAUAAUAAUAAUUUCUUCUUCAUAGGAUUGUUGUGAGGACUAGAUGACUUGAUACAUGUAAAGAUCUUACAUGCCUGGCACAACGAAGUGCCAGUAUUUUUAGCUCUUGUCAUUGUCAUCAUUAAUGGCCAGGUCUGCCUUCAUCGCCAUACCAUUGGCUUUUGGAUUCAAAAAUUCAUGUCUGCUAUAGCUUUGUUCUUUACCUAUUUAAUUCCCAAUGCACAUGUAUUAAGCUUCCACGUAGCACUUAUCCCAUUUGUUCCUUACUAACAUUGUCAUGGGUUAAGUAGGACAUAUGUUUUUUUAACUUUAUUUUCACAUACAAUAAAAGGUUCUCGAGUUUUUCUAUCAAUGGAAUUAUAUAUUAUAUAUCCAUUUUUUCGGUCAUGCCAUGGCAUUUAGAAGUUCUCAGCCUAAGGACUGAACCAGAGCUGCAGCAGUGACCCCGGCUGUUGCAAUGACAAUGCCGGAUCCUGUCACACCACACGAGAACUCCAAAAGGUAUCCAUUUUAAGUAUACAGUUCUAUGAGUUUAAAAUUGAAUCACCACCAUAAUCAAGAUGUAAAACAUUCCUAUUGCACCCCUAAUUGCCCUCUUCCCCUUUUAAUCUCCCAUUCUUACACCUGGGUCCAGGCAACUACUGAUCUGCUUCCUGUCACCAUAGAUUAAGGUUCUCUUGAGUUUUUCUAUCAAUGGAAUUAUAUAUUAUGUACUUUUGUAUGUCUGGCUUCUUUCACUCAGGGUAGUUAUUUUGAGGUUGAUACACAUUGUUGGAAUAGAGCUUACUGAUGAUGAAGGGCUUAGAGGUCACACAGCCAGAAAGGCGCCAUGCCUGGAUUGGCAUUGGAUUAUUCUCUACUGAUUUCUCUUCAGGAUCCAUUCCAUUGGACCAGUGAUCAUCACACUUUUAAAGCACCAGGACUCUUUCAGAUGAAAUACUCCUUAAAAUACUCAUUAAAAAAACAGACUAGGGAAUUCCUGUCGUGGUUCAGUGUUUAAUGAACCCAACUAGCAUUCAUGAGGAUGCAGGUUCGAUUACUGGUCUCGCUCCGUGGGUUAAGGAUCUGGCAUUGCUAUGAGCUGUAGUGUAGGUCACAGACGUGGCUUGGAUCCCGCGUUGCUGUGGCUCCAGUAUAGGCUGGCAACUAUAGACUAGGAAGUUCCGCGUGGCAUAUGGGUUAACGAUCCAGCAUUGCCACAGCUGUGGUGCAGGUGGUAACUGUGGCAUGGCUUCCAUUUCUGGCCUGGGAACGUCCACAUUCUGUAUGU
rnacentral:lncRNA from 1 species